UAGAUACAAUUCUUAUAUUCAGAUAUAUGAAAAUUCAUGUAGUCGAAAAUUCCGACGAUGCUAGUUAAGUAAUGCGCGAGAGCGCAAUUAUAUCUGUACGGAGCAGUAAAUGCGUCCAGCGAGCCUUUGAAUGCUUUUGAGUCAGUUGAUUACAUCCUCGAUGUUGUUGGUUUAAUCCAUCUCCGUUUCAUUUGCAUCUUCAGCCGGUGGCUACUCACAAAGCGUACGUGAUCGCGAUAAAAGUUAGUGCCAUUAGUGCGACGCCGACGUUAACACGUCUCAGAAGACAUCUGAUAAUAUCCGAUACGUGUCGUAUUCGCCUUAUUAAUGCAACGCGAAUACGGUAGCCACGCUUAUCUGACACGAAGCGCUCACAGACAAAAAUCUCUCGCUGGGGACAUCCCACAUUUUUUUCCGCUUACUUAAGAUUCCCUCGUCUAACGCGAACUCAAUCUUACGACAGUCACCGCCAACAUCGAUCUCGGCACAUAAGACUUCGCUCACGACCGAUCCCCCGCGCACCAUCCACAUUAAUCGCGCGCGUCGCACGGUCGCUGGCAUAUAUUAUGAGGAAAAAGUUUGCGCAGUGCAGUUUUCUUCGACAAUCGCCGGUCUGUCGUUCGAGAUAGUUACGAAAGUGCUAUUUACGUAUGCGUGUUUGCGAUUUUAACUUACAAUAAUGGCGGAUAAAAACAAUAGCGAAUACCCAAUCCAAUUGACAGAAUCUAAUCCAGGGUUUUCACGUAACGAGUCUACUAAAAGUUUCGUAAGUUCUGGGAAUGAAAAACCGGAAUGUACUACUCAACGUAUACUUAUCUCUGCAAUGGAUACGGUUAACCAUAUACUGAUUGUAUUGGUGACAAUAUAUCUUGUGUAUCACGCAGCGAAGGAAUAUUCCGUAACAAAUAUACACGUAAUCCUCUGCACUAUCGGUUGUAUGUACACUCGACAAAAUGGUCAUUUUUACU